UUGAAUCUUUUCAGAAUUCAACAAUCAGUGAUUUUCAGAUAAUACUAUACUCUGUAUUUAGCAUAUUCCUCGCCUUUUAGUCCAUGUUUUGUAGGUUUCAAUAGCUUGCAAAAAAUAACGAAGUGAACAAUUUACAGCUCUCCAGAAAAAUCAAACAACCAGAUCUUCGUUUCUACUGCUAUCAUUAUUUCCCCUUUAAUUUCUGCAGACAUUAAAGUUCAAGGUGCAAAUGCUGUUGUACUUGGCAGAAGCAAGAUUGUUGGUUCUCCCAUGGCAAAUCUUUUGACGUGGAAUCAUGCUACAGUUACAAUUUGUCAUUCUAGAACAAAGAAUUUGCGAGAUGUUGUAAGAAGUGGAGAUAUUGUUGUUGCUGCAGUUGGUGUAGCUGAAAUGGUCAAGGUAUGCUUCUCUUAAUUUUUCUAUGAAAUAAAAAUAGGAUUUUUGU